rnacentral:rRNA from 1 species
UACGUAGGGGGCGAGCGUUGUCCGGAUUUAUUGGGCGUAAAGAGCUCGUAGGCGGUUCGAUAAGUCGGACGUGAAAUCUCCACGCUCAACGUGGAGGGGCCGUUCGAUACUGUCGUGACUCGAGUCCGGUAGGGGAGUGUGGAAUUCCCGGUGUAGCGGUGAAAUGCGCAGAGAUCGGGAGGAACACCCGUAGCGAAGGCGGCACUCUGGGCCGGUACUGACGCUGAGACGCGAAAGCGUGGGGAGCAAACAGG